CCUACGGGAGGCUGCAGUGGGGAAUAUUGCACAAUGGGGGAAACCCUGAUGCAGCGACGCCGCGUGAGUGAAGAAGUAACUCGUUAUGUAAAGCUCUAUCAGCAGGGAAGAAAAUGACGGUACCUGAGUAAGAAGCCCCGGCUAACUACGUGCCAGCAGCCGCGGUAAUACGUAGGGGGCAAGCGUUAUCCGGAUUUACUGGGUGUAAGGGGAGCGUAGACGGCAGUGCAAGUCCGGAGUGAAAGGCGGGGGCUCAACCCCCGUACUGCACUGGAAACUGUAAGGCUUGAGUGCAGGAGGGGUAAGUGGAAUUCCUAGUGUAGCGGUGAAAUGCGUAGAUAUUAGGAGGAACACCGGUGGCGAAGGCGGCUUACUGGACUGUAACUGACGUUGAGGCUCGAAAGCGUGGGGAGCAAACAGGAUUAGAUACCCCUGUAGUC
rnacentral:rRNA from 1 species